AUCCACCGAUCACCAGCAGCUGCACCCGUGGUAAUAAAUAAAUCUAAGAAAACUGCAGCAGUCGUUCGUUUGUGCCAACUGCGUCACCGAGCGCGUCGUGUUCUUCUACUCCGCCGACGGCGCCAGGCUCUUCUUCGAGUGUGACGGCGCCGUGCACGGGGUUAGCGCGCUCGCGAGCCUCCACCUAUGUGCCCCGCUUUGCGACGCCUGUGACGCCGAACGCGCCGCUCUCUGCUGCCAAAUCGGCGCCCACCGGGCCAUGCUCUGCGCCGGCCGCCGUGCGCUGCUGGACCGCGACGGUGGAGCCUCCCCCGUGGAUGCUUACACCAGCGGUUAUGCGCCCGCCGAGAUCGUCUGCAUCCUCUCCGUCGACGCGCCGUCGUCGCAUGAGGACUUCGAUGUCUGGCUCGCCGACAACCUCCCCCAAAUCCUACACGAGGUUCAGUUUGAUUGUGUGAUCCAGCGACAAAAUUCAUUGAGUAGUGCUGCUAUAUAUCAGUCAAGGGAAUGGUAUAGAGAAGAGAGGAUGAUGAUAAUACAAAGUGGGUGAGAUAGUAUGAGUGAUUAGUGAAGGGGCAUAGGCUUGGUACUACACCAUCGUACAAACAAGGAAGUGGUUAGUGUGCUAUCUUUGAUGUAAAAGAGGAAGAUUUCUUUCCUGACUCAUCUAAUGGUGGAUCGAUGAUUUAAGAAGCAUAUUCAGUUCAUCUUUCAAUUUUUUGGUGCCAAGCUUGAUCUUUAUCCAACUGACUGACUGACUAAAAGUACCUUCUAAUCACUAUUGAACGCAUAUAUUAGUUAGUUUGACUGUAUACACCACAUAAAGAGAAAAAAAAUGAAUUCUAAAAAAGUUAGGCAUAGAUACUACAGAACCAGUGGACCCUCAAGAAACAAAAGGCACACCUGAAGGAUUUUUUCUUAAGAAAUGUAUUAAUUUGACUAUUUGAGUAUGCAAAAUGUGCAAUUUCAAUCUUUCCUUUUCAAGGAGAACAGGGGACUGCUUCAUACUCAAUACGGAUGGAGGCUAAUUAUUGAUCUUCCAAGUUAAAAAUCUGAAAAUAACUUCAUUUAGUAAUGGAUAUAUGGUCAAGAAAGGAUGCCUUUCCUUAAAGAUACAGAACAAAAUCAUGUUCGUGUAUGUCCGGCUGACAGAUGAAUCAAUCUCGUUUUAAGUUUCAAACCAGCAACCUUUGUGUACGUACAUGUGUUAUCAAGGAUGCACGGAUCCAUUGGCCUGCGUACCACACAUCCCCUCACUAAUUCUAUCAGUGUCAUUCUUAACAAGGUAAGUAUGAUUGCCUAAUCUCUGAUUUUCUUAAUUGAUCUUUGGUCCUUGAUCCCUAAUGUCGUUAUAUUUUAUUGAUUUUAUAAAUGAUCUCAAACAGGAACAUACCAUUUUUUAGGCUACAGUUCCUAUAACUUGCCUUGUCAAUUUAAUAAAAUUACAUGUGUGAUGGAGGUUGUAACUUAUUACGGUUUACUUUGUCAAAAUUCUUCAAACCCUAUGCCGAUCCUCACUAUCUUUGAAACAAUCUGAUUUCUGUGUCAUUGCUAAACAUAUGUUUGGUGUGCUGGAUUUUCUGAUGUAAGAGGAAGCUAUUCGACAAUCCUGCUCAAGUUGGUAUAGAUUAGAUCGAUUUUAUUCAGUAAAUAUUUAUGCUUGAUAGAUGAAAGCCUCCCUCUUCUGCCCUUCUUUUCUCCAUCCUCUGUAGGUCGCGAGCACAUGUGAAUCGUUGUCGUCAAGAGCAUGCUUGUGACAUCAUUACUAUACGUGAUGCAGCGCAAAAGGACGUUGUCAGGAGUUAAGUGUUCAAGCGCAAUCUCUAGCCAAGUUCCCUUUGUUGUUGUGUUGAAUUUUGGGGAAAGGCGGCCAAGCAGCUCGUGGCAUCUGUGUCGCGCCUGCUCCGCCGCUACCUUGACUCGCCGACAACGUCGCCCGUUGGGCUGCAGGGGUGCAAGACGACCGUGGGGCCCAUUGCAUGGGUGCUGAGUAUGCUUGAUUUCCAUGUCGGAGACGAAGGCCCUAGAGCUUGGUGGCUUAUGUGUGAUGUUUUUUUCCUCCCAUUGCAACACAUCGAUUGAUUUAUUCAUGCAUCCGUCGAUUUACUCUGAAUUGUUUUCAGUCGUCAAACAUUAACUGGAUUGACUCGUGGAUAUGCAUUGUGACAAGUCGUGUGAGAUGAAGGUGGUGAACCAUCUCAAUAUGAAGCCAAGUAUGGUGGAUUUGCCAUGGAUGAUGGUAGACCGAUAGGCGGCUGGGUGCAUGAAUAAUUGUCAAGGUGGCCGAAGCUAGCGCUAUUUUUGUUGGACUGAAGGAAUUGUAUAAGGUAUUUCGAGGCUCCCUGGUGGUGGAGAUCGACUACGCAGUGGGGAAAUGAGCUAGGGGUUGAUUUUGUAAGCAGAUCAUUGUCCUACUCAAUUAUUGUUGAUAUUAAAUCUGCCGAAGCUCCCAGAGACCUUAUGGUUGCGGAUGGUGUCGCGGACCAAUUACAUGCUCUGCUCUGGAAGGAAAAUGAUGCAGCCUUGACGUCGGCCUAAGUCUUGAUGUAAUCCUCAAAAGAGAUAUUGCUUGCAGAUUGGUUAUAUAGAAACAUGCAUGUUGUAGGUCUGUUAAUUUUAGUUUUGGAAUACUAAGAUCUGUUCAGAUGCUUUCCUUACUCUUAGGGCUAAAAAAUUCACAAGAUAGUGACUGAAUUACGUUGGUUUUACUCAA